rnacentral:misc_RNA from 1 species
ACUUCAACAAAGUUAUUAUAUAGUGUUUCGUCAUGGAAAGCAACUUCAAUUGUAAAAAGAUAAUAUAGGCUAUAGUAUCUUGUAUUCAUGUCUGUUCCAGGAAAAAAUCCAGAAGGUAUGCCUGUUACAGGAAGGAGAGACAAGGCGAUGGAGAUUACAUCUUUUGUAAGAAAGUUUAUUAAUCUAAUAAUAUUUGAGAAGCCUUCAAAAUCGCAUCCAUUUAUAAUUCUAAUGGCAAUGAGCCUUUUUCUGCAGGCCAAUCUUUUGCUGGGUCUUCGAGUUGCUCUAAAAGAAAAUUCUGAAAAAACUCUCCAAGGACUGACAGACUGUAUGAUAACGAUGAUGAUGGCUGGCAAUUUAAUCAAACGCAGUAUCAAUAAUGAAGAAGUCACGAAAUUGCUAGAGCUUAUUGAAAGUGACAUUUCCUCCAGCCACUAUGGUUUGAGAGUCAGAAAAAAUUAUUUGUGGAGAAAAAUUCAGAAUUACUGUCGGAAGAAGAGGAAAGAUAUGAGCUCUUUGUCAAGAAAUGUGAAAAUUAUUAUUUUUAUUUGUGGAUUUGCAGUUAUCAACCGAAAUAUAAUUAUCCAUUUCUCUGGGUUGACAACUCCAGAAAAUGAGUCUAUCGACUGGCCAACUCCUCUGUUGAGCUAUUGCUCUCCUGAACUCAAAUCUCCAAUAUUUUUCCUAUACUUCUAUUCCUUUCAUAGUUUAACAGUGUCAAUAUAUUUCACAGAAGGAUUCGUGAUUGUAUUUUUGGUAACCCUUUCCAUAGAACGCUUACUGGCCGAUUUUGACAUACUCAUCAUUCUUUUGGACGAUCUUGUACAAGUUUCUUUAGAGCCAGGUCUCAAUGCUGACUCUAACAACAGUUCGCAAGGAAUUGAUCAACAGAACAUCUCACAUUCCACAGAAAAAACAGUACAUCUAAGAGAAGAUGUGGCUCAUAUUGUUCAUCACCAUCAAACUCUUAACAGAACGACAUCUUGCGCAGAAAGCUAGCAGAGCUUCCUUGGACAGACAGGCCGUACUGGUUCAAGCAGACUCUCCAUAUUAUGAUGACACGAGCCAACGUCGAUAUUCAGAUGCGGCCUUUCGGCGUAUACACGCUCAACUAUGUGUCCUUCAAAGACUUGAUGAAAUCCACGUACUCCAUUGGAAAUAUUCUAUACACGAGGAAAAUGGCCAGUGAGAAACAAUAAUAAUAUGUAACACGUUGUUUCGAAUAGGCUACGUAUUAUU